rfam:Vogesella sp. LIG4 genome assembly, chromosome: I
GGCGGGCCCCCCCGCAUUGUACGGUAGUGAACCUGGUCAGGUCCGGAAGGAAGCAGCCACAGCUAUUUAGUGCAAGUGCCGGGGUUCAGGCUCGCCACC